UAGCGGCGAGUGAAGCGGCAAAAGCUCAAAUUUGAAAUCUGGCGCCUUCGGUGUCCGAGUUGUAAUUUGAAGAUUGUAACCUUGGGGUUGGCUCUUGUCUAUGUUUCUUGGAACAGGACGUCACAGAGGGUGAGAAUCCCGUGCGAUGAGAUGCCCAAUUCUAUGUAAGGUGCUUUCGAAGAGUCGAGUUGUUUGGGAAUGCAGCUCUAAGUGGGUGGUAAAUUCCAUCUAAAGCUAAAUAUUGGCGAGAGACCGAUAGCGAACAAGUACAGUGAUGGAAAGAUGAAAAGAACUUUGAAAAGAGAGUGAAAAAGUACGUGAAAUUGUUGAAAGGGAAGGGUUUGAGAUCAGACUCGAUAUUUUGUGAGCCUUGCCUUCGUGGCGGGGUGACCCGCAGCUUAUCGGGCCAGCAUCGGUUUGGGCGGUAGGAUAAUGGCGUAGGAAUGUGACUUUACUUCGGUGAAGUGUUAUAGCCGGCGUUGAUGCUGCCUGCCUAGACCGAGGACUGCGAUUUUAUCAAGGAUGCUGGCAUAAUGAUCCCAAACCGCCCCUCUAAAAAAAAC
rnacentral:rRNA from 1 species